GUAUAUAUACCGUGUAUAUACAUAUAUGUAUAUAUACCGUGUAUAUACAUAUAUGUAUAUAUACCGUGUAUAUACA
rnacentral:pre_miRNA from 8 species